rnacentral:rRNA from 1 species
CAUGCUCCCGGGCGCCAUGGCGGCCGCGGGAAUUCGAUUAGAGUUUGAUCCUGGCUCAGAUUGAACGCUGGCGGCAUGCCUAACACAUGCAAGUCGAACGGCAGCACAGUAAAGAUUUCGGUCUUUAUGGGGUGGCGAGUGGCGGACGGGUGAGUAACACGUAGGAAUCUGUCCUGGAGCGUGGGAUAACCCGAGGAAACUCGGGCUAAUACCACAUGAUAUCGAGAGAUCAAAAGCAGGGGACCGAAAGGCCUUGCGCUCUGGGGUGAGCCUACGUCGGAUUAGCUAGUUGGUGGGGUAAAAGCCUACCAAGGCGACGAUCCGUAGCUGGUCUGAGAGGAUGACCAGCCACACUGGGACUGAGACACGGCCCAGACUCCUACGGGAGGCAGCAGUGGGGAAUCUUGGACAAUGGGGGAAACCCUGAUCCAGCGAUGCCGCGUGUGUGAAGAAGGCCUUCGGGUUGUAAAGCACUUUAGGUGGGGAAGAAAGGUAACGAGCGAAUAACUCGUUGCUAUGACGGUACCCGCAGAAUAAGCACCGGCUAACUCUGUGCCAGCAGCCGCGGUAAAUCACUAGUGAAUUCGCGGCCGCCUGCAGGUCGACCAUAUGGGAGAGCUCCCAA